GCGCGAUUAGCUCAGCGGUAGAGCACUACCUCGACACGGUAGGGUCACUGGUUCGAUCCCAGUAUCGCGCA
rnacentral:tRNA from 1 species